UACGGAAGGCAGCAGUGGGGAAUAUUGCACAAUGGGCGCAAGCCUGAUGCAGCCAUGCCGCGUGUAUGAAAAAGGCCUUCGGGUUGUAAAGUACUUUCAGUCGUGAGGAAGGUGUUAAGGUUAAUAACCUUAGCAAUUGACGUUAGCGACAGAAGAAGCACCGGCUAACUCCGUGCCAGCAGCCGCGGUAAUACGGAGGGUGCGAGCGUUAAUCGGAAUUACUGGGCGUAAAGGGCACGCAGGCGGUUAAUUAAGUUGGAUGUGAAAUCCCCGGGCUUAACCUGGGAAUGGCAUUCAAGACUGGUUAGCUGGAGUCUUGUAGAGGGGGUAGAAUUCCAUGUGUAGCGGUGAAAUGCGUAGAGAUGUGGAGGAAUACCGGUGGCGAAGGCGGCCCCUGGGACAAAGGCUGACGCUCAUGUGCGAAAGCGUGGGGAGCAAACAGGGAUUAGAU
rnacentral:rRNA from 1 species